rnacentral:lncRNA from 1 species
UUAGACCUUGCAUAUUCUAUUGUAUUAUGGGAUGAAAGUCAGAGAGAGAUCUAUAUGAGUCCUCUUCUAUCUGCUGACUAUUCAUCCUUCAUGGUGGGCAUUCAACCUAACCUUGCAGUACAAGGAAAUUUUGUGCAAAGGAACAACAAACAAGGUCAAAGAAACACUGGGCAAUUUCAGCAACAAUCUCAGAAACCAGGGAACCACAUGCAAUUUCAAAGAUCAGGAAGCAAUAUGCAGAAAAAUGAGAACACUCCACAAAG